rnacentral:tRNA from 1 species
GGAGAGGUGUCCGAGUGGUCGAUGGUGCUUGACUCGAAAUCAAGUGUGCUGUUAAAGGCACCGUGGGUUCGAAUCCCACCCUCUCCGCCA